AGCAAUAGUUGAGAGUUUUAAAAUAAACAGAAACUGCUGCAGUGAGGAACAGUUACAGCUGAAGUGGAUACAUACAGAAACCUACUUAGCAGUGUUUUGAAUUCCCCCAAGACAUCGAAGAAAAAUAUUAGAUUGACUAGGAGGAAAUUGAGCGGGACAAGAAAACGUAGAUCCAGUAGGCCGUAAAAACAUCGAUGUUGUCAAUCGACAGUCGAAAACCGAUGAAAUUAAACAAAAAUUAUUUCCCUUAGCCAAUCAAAUAAAACACAACUAAUUGAGACUUCGCGUUGAAGCAGAGGCGCUGAAAAUGCAAAUAAACAGUAGAUAACAGAGUACCGCGUAGCACCUGGUCGAUGAUAGGUAUUCAAACGAAGAUUAUGUCAUACGGCAAACAAUUCUGCGUUGGUUCAGACAAAACGGUUGACACGGAGCUAUAGCUGUGCACUUAUUUGAACAGAAGAACAAUCACUUCCAGUUAGCAGGCGACCUUUAUGGAGGCGUUUCUAGAAAAUAGAAAAAUAUUUCCGCGAUAUUUCGCCAAGAAGUGUUCUUCAAGCACAUAGCUGUCCAUAUCCAUAGCCGCAACGAUGACAUCAUAUAUUCGCAGAUGCUAAUGAUGAAUGCAAGACAUUAAACAUGUCCAUCGUUUCUUCAAUUAAUACAGCUUCUUUCCAAUGCUCUGAAAAAUGCUAACAUAUAGGGUAGACUGGGAAAUAAUGCACCCUACAGUAAUAGUCAAAUCAUGUAAAAAAACAACGGUUAAAAAAACUUUUUUCAAUCUUCUUAUCACAUUUAAUACUUGCAAAAAAUACAACUAGGAUGUUGACUUGUAAUGAAAGAUAUUUAUCGCAAGGACGGUUCGUUUUACUUCACAGUACCCUACUAGGUUCUGUCUUUACCGCAUCAUACCACGCAGAAUAUUCAGUAUAUGUACACAUCGUCAGAAAAAAUAUUAUUCGCAUGGAGGUCGAGUGCUGUUGUGCCCUCCCACAGUGAGAGAGAUAAAAAAGCAACGAAUCGUCUUACCAUACCCAGAUCUAUGUCUUUCUUGAUCCGAACAUUUCGCACUGAUCCAUCUGGAAAUCAUCUAUAGCCUCUCGUGGCACCAUAUUGAAAAUCGUUUGGUGUAACAGGCAUUAGUUAUUGAAAUGUUUAUGAAUUUGUCUACGCCACG